rnacentral:misc_RNA from 1 species
GAUGAAGAACGCAGUGAAAUGCGAUAAGUAAUGUGAAUUGCAGAAUUCCGUGAAUCAUCGAGUCUUUGAACGCACAUUGCGCCCCCUGGUAUUCCGGGGGGCAUGCCUGUCCGAGCGUCAUUGCUGCCCUCAAGCACGGCUUGUGUGUUGGGCCUCCGUCCUCCUCCCGGGGGACGGGCCCGAAAGGCAGCGGCGGCACCGCGUCCGGUCCUCGAGCGUAUGGGGCUUCGUCACCCGCUCUUGUAGGCCCGGCCGGCGCUUGCCGACACAUCAAUCUUUUUUCCAGGUUGACCUCGGAUCAGGUAGGGAUACCCGCUGAACUUAAGCAUAUCAAUAAGCGGAGGA